rnacentral:rRNA from 1 species
GACGAACGCUGGCGGCGUGCUUAACACAUGCAAGUCGAACGGAAAGGCCCUGCUUUUGUGGGGUGCUCGAGUGGCGAACGGGUGAGUAACACGUGAGUAACCUGCCCUUGACUUUGGGAUAACUUCAGGGAGCUGGGGCUAAUACCGGAUAGGAGCUCCUGCUGCAUGGUGGGGGUUGGAAAGUUUCGGCGGGUGGGGAUGGACUCGCGGCUUAUCAGCUUGUUGGUGGGGUAGUGGCUUACCAAGGCUUUGACGGGUAGCCGGCCUGAGAGGGUGACCGGCCACAUUGGGACUGAGAUACGGCCCAGACUCCUACGGGAGGCAGCAGUGGGGAAUAUUGCACAAUGGGCGGAAGCCUGAUGCAGCAACGCCGCGUGCGGGAUGACGGCCUUCGGGUUGUAAACCGCUUUCGCCUGUGACGAAGCGUGAGUGACGGUAAUGGGUAAAGAAGCACCGGCUAACUACGUG